AAUAACUAAAAUCGCACCAUCUGACACCCCUACUUGCGAGGAGCUGAUGGGUGGUUUUUUUUAGAAUCAACCACAGCCCUUGGAUGGGUGUAGGACAGAUGUCGAUCGCCCAAGUGGCUAUGAGCAAGACUUGGGCGAUCAGGUAUAAGGAGAGGAGCCAGUUCCCACUGUAAACCCUUUCCCUUCCUCUUAUAGUCCCUGCUGUAAACCCUUGCGCCAUCUCCCUCCAGAGCCCCGGAUCGCCGCUCGUGCUCGCCUUUACCUUCUUGCUGCCUGCCGCGCUUCACGGCCUUCGCCGAAACCCUUGCAGUCUCGCUCAGUCAGUUGUCAUGAUGUCUAGGUGACACAAGCAUUGGAGGCGGUCCAAAUACAUGGCGGCACCAACAAGAUGACCAAGGUGCCCACCUUGGUGACCAAAUUGUCCAAGGAGACGUAGGGGCCUGGAUGCCUAGGUGACGCCUUGGCAACUCUGGAAUGGAGUAUUGUGGCUUGUACGACAAUGAAAGAAAGUUAUGACAUGAACAAUCACACUAAGGAUGCAAUGGUCCUUACUUGGAGUAUCUUGCUUUCAGGCCUAGAUUUGUGGGUUGCCCAACAGUUGGGUUUGACUAGCAUCAUCCACUUGUGUAUUGGAAAUGAAUGGUGGCAAGACAAGGGCAGGAAAUCCAUGACCGUAUGAUAUUGUAAUUAAAUUUGGGCACAAAGUGAGUAACUGCACGAUAAGGGGUCUUGUCCCAUUGUAUGAAAAAUGUGAUCAGAUGGUGUUUGUUCUUCACCUCUUUGAUAUAGCCGGUGAAGAGUGUGUAAUUGUGGGGGAGAAUGAUUUCAUGGUACAUUUAUAGCAGUUUGAAUCAGAAAGCCUUGGAGCUCAACGUUGA